UAGAGAGAAAAGAGGAAUGAAAUGGCAAGGAAAGAAUUUCGACCGGAGUUUGACCUCUGUGAUCUUGGAAUUUAGGUCAAGGUCAAAAGGUUUACACCACAUUGUGGAGCUUGUCAGUGUUCAGAAUAAUCAAGGACAUACAUCAGAACCUCAGACAGGUCCAAUGAGAACAAAAGUCCAAUACAUUACUUGAUCAAAAGAAGAGGAUUAUAUCAAAAUUUCAUAUGUCAUGUUAUAGGAGCCAUCUUUUAAGGGUUUAAACGUCCAAAAGAUGGCUGUCCUAGAUUUUGGUAAGUCCGGAUUCGCUUCUGCAUGGUUGGCUCUCUGCUUACCGUCACAGCUUCACCGCUUUCCCUGCCUCCGCACUCAAUCACGACCAGCCUGCCAACCCCACGUUUCAUGGAAUAUCCCUCAUUAUGGUAAUCAGUUUCCAUUGUUUUAGUCGAGCCAAGUGUAUUGCAAAGGGAUUAGUGACAUAUUGUGAAGAUUGUGCCGGAAAUUGACGAUAAUUUGCCAAAAUUCUGGACCCGAGGAAUUGAUGCAAUCUGAGAAAUGUGCCGAGAUACCUGCUGCUUUCCAUUCCACAAAUGUGGCCCGUGUUUUAUUGGCGAAUUCUUGCAAAUAACUACGGAUUCUCGUUGGAUAAGGAUAACUUCUACAAUAUGGUAAUUGACAAAUCAAGGAACUAAAUAUUUGUUGGCCCAUAAUCAUGCAUGGAUUGAUGGGGGGGGACUUUUCUUAACUGUUGGGAAUGGAUUACCACUUGGAAAAGUGUCCGUUAAUAAAAUAUUUUUUAAAGUUAUGUACCUGAAAUUGUCACUGCUGGAUUUUAUUAACAUUUCCUAAAAAAACUCUUUAGGACUGUAAUACUGACUGUGUCUCUUUCUUUAGCUAGUUGUGCAUGGUCAGUUUAGUCUGUAUACUUACAGCUAGACCAGUGACUGAAAGUUUCAUGACAUUCAUGAGGGAUUUUGCUACAUCGGACUUAACAAUGGACAUCGAAAAUUGUUGUAUUUUCUAUGGAAUAAUGUGAAAAAUUAUAUUUCUAAACC